rnacentral:rRNA from 1 species
CAUGAAGCUGGAAUCGCUAGUAAUCGCGGAUCAGAAUGCCGCGGUGAAUAGUUCCCGGGUCUUGUACACACCGCCCGUCACACCAUGGGAGUCGGAAAUGCCCGAAGUCUGUGACCCAACCUGAGAGGGAGGGAGCAGCCGAAGGCAGGUCUGAUGACUGGGGUGAAGUCGUAACAAGGUACC